rnacentral:rRNA from 1 species
UACAGAGGGUGCAAGCGUUAAUCGGAAUGACUGGGCGUAAAGGGCGUGUAGGCGGCCUUGCAAGUGAUGUGUGAAAUCCCUUGGCUUAACCAAGGACGGUCACAUCAAACGGCAAGGCUAGAGGAAUUCAAGAGGAACGUAGAAUUUCCGGUGUAGCGGUGAAAUGCAUAGAUAUCGGAAGGAAUACCAGCGGCGAAGGCGACGUUCUGGUGAUUCUCUGACGCUGAGGCGCGAAAGCAUGGGGAGCAAACAGG